CAGUAGCCGCGGUAAUACGAAGGGUGCAAGCGUUACUCGGAAUUACUGGGCGUAAAGCGUGCGUAGGCGGUUCUAUAAGACAGAUGUGAAAUCCCCGGGCUCAACCUGGGAACUGCAUUUGUGACUGUAGAGCUGGAGUACGGCAGAGGGGGAUGGAAUUCCGCGUGUAGCAGUGAAAUGCGUAGAUAUGCGGAGGAACACCGAUGGCGAAGGCAAUCCCCUGGGCCUGUACUGACGCUCAUGCACGAAAGCGUGGGGAGCAAACAGGAUUAGAUACCCCCGUAGUCCCUGUCUCUUAUAA
rnacentral:rRNA from 1 species